AUUCUCAAUGGGAUUGUGAAAUAAAAAAAAUGUUCUAGAAAGUUCUAGAAAUGCGUUCGAGUCCAUCUGUGCCCUUGCCCUGUAAUAACCUGUACUGCUUGUAUAAUUUGUUUCUGUACUGUUUAUCUAACUUGUUUUUGUACCGCUUAUCUAUCUUGUUUGUCUCAGAAUGUUAUGGGAAAAGGGAUAGCUUACAGAAAUGAUUCACAGGGCGAGCCUCGAGAAAGUGAUCUGGCCAAUUACUCUCUCGCACGCGGAAGCCUAACUUGGUAAGCUAUAAAGGACGGGUUUCCCCCCCGCUCUGGUGAGAGUCAGCCGUGAGGAUUUGCGCAGUCCUGCUCGGUAGUUUUGGAGACAGCUGCUUUCUCUUGCCAGGGUCGAGGGGCUCUCCCGAUCUGCUUGGAAGGGCAAGGAUUAGUUCAGUUGCGUCUCUAUGAGUAUUGAUCUGUGAACCUUUGUUGAGGAGAGUCAGCCGUGAGGAUAUGCGCAGUCCUGCUCGGUAUUUUUGGAGACAGCUGCUUUCUCUUACUAGGGUCGAGGGGCUCUCCCGAUCUGCUUGGAAGGGUCCCGAGAUAAUACUGAUGGCGUUUAUGUGGAAUGGAAGCACAGUGCUGUUCAUCGGAACUGAGAGGACCAUUUCAGAAGAGUUUGUGCAGAAAGUUCCAGUACACUUGUGGGACAAUUUGGAUAUGCAAACAGUAACUGUACAUAUUAACCUGCAUAACUUUACAAUGCUUGUCCAUGAUAUGUAGUAAUUAAGCUCUACCAUAUAUCUGGAACAAGAGUGUAAGUUGCUGAGAGACGGUCAUGAGGAAGUAUCUGAAACCACAGAGACAUUCUUACAUAUGGGGAACCAUUCCGGUCUGCAUAUCAAAAGAAGAAAUAUUUAUGAUGACGUUAAAGUGACAUUUUUGGGGAUGUAAUGGGGACUGUUAAUUUCAGUUAACAUACCUGAUAAUGAAACUACGUAUUAUAAACUUGGGGUAUAGAUGUAUGAUUGGUGAAAAGAUUUGUCUUAGUUUAAAGAUACUAAAGGUAAUAUGUCAGCGAUCCUGGAGUGCAAAGGUUGUAAAAUUGCCCUCUAGAGGCACUGGGAGUAUGGAGUUUGUGUUGUUCAUGACACUUAAGAGUGACAUUGUUAAGACAUUGUAUCUGCCAUAACAUAAUACUAUAUUAAUAUGUAAUAAUGUGAAUAUAGUGUUAUCGUAUGUAAUGUAUAAUUUCACAAAUCUAACUUAUGUUUGAACAGCAUUGCAAGCAACACACCAAUAUCCAGAAUUGGCUUCAAAGGGAAAUAGGUAGUACAAUAAAAGAUUACAAUGAGCGAAUAGCCGAACGAAUGUGUGAAGGUAAUGAGAAUGUGUGAAGGUAAUGAGAAUGUGUGAAGGUAAUGAGAAACGUAGUAAGAGGGGGCUUUUUGAUGAAAUAGCAGGCUGGUUUGGUGCAGGAAAUUCUGUUGCAAACAGCUGGGGUAUUUAUCAAAUGUCAAAAGGGCAAACUUGGAUAGCAAGUGCUGUGGGAGAAAGAAUAGAAGGAUUGGGGAAUGGACAGAUGUAUGUAAACCAAGUGUAUGAACUGGACAGAAUGUACAUUGCAAAUGUUAUAUGCAUAUCAUCAACGCACCAAAGUACAAUCAUUGAUUUUACGACAAAAUAAUCAUGAAUAUAAAAAUUUUUGGAACAUUUCAGAGUUAUGGGUGAACGUGAUAAAAGAAUCUACUAUGUGUAACAAUACUAUGUGUAUGGGGAGAUAUGUUAUGCAUAAUGUAACGAGAGUGACACCUGUAUGUAAAUACUAUGUGCAUCCCAUAAUUGCUGGGGGAGCCCACUGGUAUCUCCAGGUUAUAGGCACAUGGUUGGAUAUACACACUAAUCAGACAUAUGAUUUACUAGAUUGUGACGAGACAGACCAAGGCAUGGUUUGCUUAUUAAGGACAGGACGUACUAACCCAUGUUUUACAGACGGAAAGGGGUUGUGUGAAUGGAGACAUGAGCCAUUGAGGGAAAUUUUGCACGAAGUUGGCCCUCAUAAAUUAUGCAUAAGUACGGUGCAUGCCCAUCCACAACUUACUUAUGUGCCUUAUUCUGGGUGUUUAUACUUAGCAAAACAACAUCAACACAAUGCUACUGUAUUAAAAAUUAAAACGAUAAUGGCACAAAAUACAAUCUUAGGGUUAGGGAAAGUUAUUGAACGUAAUGCACAAGAUGCGUGGUGGUCCAUAUUUGAGGGAUGGUCACCAAAGGCUAAAGGAAUAUUAAAUAUAUGAAUCCACCCCAUCUUAAUAUUAUUGGGGAUUGUAUUUCUUUUAUGUGUAUGGCAAAUAUGUUUAUGUAUCUAUCUUCGCAGAAUUACACAGCGAACAAUGUAUUUGGCAGUGCACAGAUGAAUCUCGACCGAGGGACCGAAUGAAAUAAAAAAAAUGUUCUAGAAAGUUCUAGAAAUGCGUUCGAGUCCAUCUGUGCCCUUGCCCUGUAAUAACCUGUACUGCUUGUAUAAUUUGUUUCUGUACUGUUUAUCUAACUUGUUUUUGUACCGCUUAUCUAUCUUGUUUGUCUCAGAAUGUUAUGGGAAAAGGGAUAGCUUACAGAAAUGAUUCACAGGGCGAGCCUCGAGAAAGUGAUCUGGCCAAUUACUCUCUCGCACGCGGAAGCCUAACUUGGUAAGCUAUAAAGGACGGGUUUCCCCCCCGCUCUGGUGAGAGUCAGCCGUGAGGAUUUGCGCAGUCCUGCUCGGUAGUUUUGGAGACAGCUGCUUUCUCUUGCCAGGGUCGAGGGGCUCUCCCGAUCUGCUUGGAAGGGCAAGGAUUAGUUCAGUUGCGUCUCUAUGAGUAUUGAUCUGUGAACCUUUGUUGAGGAGAGUCAGCCGUGAGGAUAUGCGCAGUCCUGCUCGGUAUUUUUGGAGACAGCUGCUUUCUCUUACUAGGGUCGAGGGGCUCUCCCGAUCUGCUUGGAAGGGCAAGGAUUAGUUCAGUUGCGUCUCUAUGAGUAUAUUAUAUCUCUGAUUAAUAUAUUCUUGUAUGUGUGUUUGUCUAUUAUUGUAUCAAGGGUGUGAAAUAAAGCGGACCUUAUUUGGAA